CUGGUGCAGUAGGGUGAAGAAUGCUCUAGCAUUGCUGUAGAUGAGGGUAGCUGGUGGAGAAGGAUACCCAAGUAAAGCCUUAGAGAAGAAGAGAGUCCCAGAAGAGAUUGUGCUUCUGGUUUCCAAAGCCUUGGACUGACCAUCUUGGUGGCCUAACAGACUCACUGUGUAAGCAGACACUAAAAAGGAAGAUAACUUCCAUCCUACCAUGACGGCUCUGGGUGUGGAUGUGCUGCUUGCCACCAGAAGCGAAGGCCAGAUGCCAGAAGCUGCAAGCUCCAAGCAAGCACCCCUGACCCAGUUUUCCACCAGUCUGAUGCAGUUCUGAUGCCGUGCUAACCCUCCAGAUGACCUUGGGAUCAUUACCAUCUAAUUGUAAUAAAAAAAACAAUAACACACCAACCAACCCACUGACAGAUUGGACAGUGCCCAUUCAAGGGAAGAAAAGAGGUGACACUUUGAUUCUUCGAGCCUCCUGCCCCUUCCUGGAAAAACCCUGAUAUCAGCUUGCUUACCAGCCCCCUUAAUUACCCUAACCCCAUAAAACCCCGACCGUGAGACCUAAUGGGGAGAAAUGUGCCUUUACAUCAUAAGUUCCC